GAAGAGAGAGUUAAAGAGGACGUGAAACCGGUGAGGUGGAAACGGACAGAGCUGGCGUAUCUGGCCUGCAUUCAGCCGUGGGGCCUCGGGCGUCUGGGUGGCCGUCUCCAGAUUGGGGCGGUGCUCUUAUUGCCUGGAGUCGUGUGGUGCAUUUGCAGGUGGAGUGCGCUGAGGUGUUCGGUGUAGCGGCAUGAGCUCGGCUCUGAGGCCAGCCGCUUGCGGUCUGGUACCCGGGUCGGGGGAGUGUUGUUUCCGCUGAGCGUUUAUCUGGGCACUGGUUUCGGGUUGGGGUUGGUGUCGAGCAGGCAGUCGGUGGCGGUCGCAUGCGACACGUACCAGCGGUCGGUUCGGUCCUGCCCUAGCUCACAGUUGCUCGGCCUCGGUGUAAAAGCCGGUUAUCUGUCCGACCCGUCUUGAAACACGGACCAAGGAGUUUAGCGUGUGCGCGAGUCAUUGGGCGUUGAAAACCCAAAGGCGCAAUGAAAGUGAAGGCCUCCCUCGCGGAGCUGAUGUGCGAUCCCGGGUGCCUCGGCACUCGGGCGCAGCAUAGUCCCGUCCUGGUCGCUUGCGGCGGGGCGGAGACAGAGCGUACGCGCUGAGACCCGAAAGAUGGUGAACUAUUCCUGAGCAGGAUGAAGCCAG
rnacentral:rRNA from 1 species